UUGACGCUGGCGGCAGGCCUAACACAUGCAAGUCGAGCGGAUGACGGGAGCUUGCUCCUUGAUUCAGCGGCGGACGGGUGAGUAAUGCCUAGGAAUCUGCCUGGUAGUGGGGGACAACGUUUCGAAAGGAACGCUAAUACCGCAUACGUCCUACGGGAGAAAGCAGGGGACCUUCGGGCCUUGCGCUAUCAGAUGAGCCUAGGUCGGAUUAGCUAGUUGGUGGGGUAAUGGCUCACCAAGGCGACGAUCCGUAACUGGUCUGAGAGGAUGAUCAGUCACACUGGAACUGAGACACGGUCCAGACUCCUACGGGAGGCAGCAGUGGGGAAUAUUGGACAAUGGGCGAAAGCCUGAUCCAGCCAUGCCGCGUGUGUGAAGAAGGUCUUCGGAUUGUAAAGCACUUUAAGUUGGGAGGAAGGGCAGUAAGCUAAUACCUUGCUGUUUUGACGUUACCGACAGAAUAAGCACCGGCUAACUCUGUGCCAGCAGCCGCGGUAAUACAGAGGGUGCAAGCCGUUAAUCGGAAUUACUGGGCGUAAAGCGCGCGUAGGUGGUUCGUUAAGUUGGAUGUGAAAGCCCCGGGCUCAACCUGGGAACUGCAUUCCAAAAC
rnacentral:rRNA from 1 species